rnacentral:lncRNA from 1 species
AAUUGAUCUUACACCUCAUGGAUUAUAACCAUCAAAAUGGUGAAUGAGGUGCAACAUUGGGUACUUUUUGUGACAAAUAUAUUUAGUUGAUUACAUAUGAUUAUGGUUAAGUAUAUAGGGUCUAGAGGCUUCGUGCAUAUAAACAAACAAACAAACGAUUAUUGUUUGCGUUCAAGCCUUUUUUUUUUUUUAAACGAUUGUGUUCAAGACUUUGGCAAUCACACAAAUCAUUAAUCAAUAUUAUUUUAAUUUCUACACAAAUUUAUUUUGGAAAUAACAUAACAAAUA